rnacentral:rRNA from 1 species
UACGUAGGGGGCAAGCGUUGUCCGGAUUUAUUGGGCGUAAAGAGCGUGUAGGCGGCUUGGUAGGUCCGCUGUGAAAACUCGAGGCUCAACCUCGAGAUGUCGGCGGAAACCACUUGGCUAGAGUCCGGAAGAGGAGAGUGGAAUUCCCGGUGUAGCGGUGAAAUGCGCAGAUAUCAGGAAGAACACCCGUGGCGAAGGCGGUUCUCUGGGACGGUACUGACGCUGAGACGCGAAAGCGUGGGGAGCGAACAGG